UACAGGGGGUGCAAACGUUGCUCGGAAUUAUUGGGCGUAAAGCGCGCGUAGGCGGCUACUUAAGUCGGAUGUGAAAGCCCUUGGCUCAACUGAGGAAGUGCACCCGAAACUGAGUGGCUUGAGUACUAAAGAGGGUCGCGGAAUUCCCGGUGUAGAGGUGAAAUGCGUAGAUAUCUGGAGGAACACCGGUGGCGAAGGCGGCGUCCUGGACCAACACUGACACUGAUGAGCGAAAGCCAGGGGAGCAAACGGG
rnacentral:rRNA from 1 species